rnacentral:rRNA from 1 species
CUCGGAGUUUGAUCCUGGCUCAGAUUGAACGCUGGCGGAAUGCUUUACACAUGCAAGUCGAACGGUAGAGGGGGCAACCCCUUGAGAGUGGCGAACGGGUGAGUAAUAUAUCGGAACGUGCCCAGUCGUGGGGGAUAACGUAGUGAAAAUUACGCUAAUACCGCAUACGAUCUAUGGAUGAAAGCGGGGGAUCGCAAGACCUCGCGCGACUGGAGCGGCCGAUAUCAGAUUAGGUAGUUGGUGGGGUAAAGGCUCACCAAGCCAACGAUCUGUAGCUGGUCUGAGAGGACGACCAGCCACACUGGAACUGAGACACGGUCCACGACGUCCGUACGGGAGGCAGCGAGUGGGGUAAUUUU